rnacentral:tRNA from 1 species
AAGGAUUUAAGUUAAAACAAACUAGUAACCUUCAAAGUUGAAAAUAGAAUAGAUCUAAGCCUUA